AUUGAACGCUGGCGGCAGGCUUAACACAUGCAAGUCGAACGAGUGGCGGACGGGUGAGUAAUGCUUGGGAAUCUAGCUUAUGGAGGGGGAUAACUACGGGAAACUGUCGCUAAUACCGCGUCCCAUAGGAUUAGCCCAAGUGGGAUUAGGUAGUUGGUGAGGUAAAGGCUCACCAAGCCGACGACCUCUAGCUGGUCUGAGAGGAUGACCGGCCACACGGGAACUGGGACACGGCCCAGACCCCAACGGGGGGCAGAAGUGGGGAAUAUUGCGCAAGGGGGGAAACCGGACGCAGCAAGGCGGCGUGAAUGAAGAAGGCCUUCGGGUUGAAAAGUUUUUUCGGUGGCGAGGCGGUAACGAAAGAAGAAGCAACGGCUAACUACGUGCCAGCAGCCGCGGUAAUUC
rnacentral:rRNA from 1 species